rnacentral:lncRNA from 1 species
AACGGACUUUUGGUUUCUCUUUCAAUUGGUUUCUUAGGCUUCAUUUGAUUCUCAUUUUUCUCUCUUUUUCUUUUCAACCACACAUUAUUCAUUAAAAUAAUAUUACAAGUAAAUAAAAAAAACUUUUACUUAUUUUUCAUCCACACAUUUUUUUAUCAAUAUACUACUCUAAUUUUUUUUUUUUUCAUAAAACCGAAUGUUAAACACCCUCUUAAACAAAGACAAUGCUAUGUGUAUAGCAUUACACUUCCCUCAUAUGCAGGAGGACCCACAUACAAUAAAAUAUUCGUAAACCUCUCUCCAUGUGAGGGGGUGCAUCAUGAGGUGUACACAUAGAAUUAUCCCCAAACAAAUAGGGACUUAAAAAGUUUCUCUCAUCUGUCAAUUUCAAAACUGAUUUAUUAAAGUACUUGAACACCACCAAUAUACUGGGUCACUAUAAGACAAAUGGAUAGCCUAGACCCACAUGCUUGUAACUUUUAAUCAGCAUAAAUCAAGUUUUCUUAACACUGCUACUUUCUUAAUGGUUAAGAAUCAACCUAACAUUCAAAAGGGUCAGCCAGCAGCGUGAUGUGCUCAAUGAGUUAACAGUGAUAUACUAUUAUAGCCUUUAGCGCUCAUUUAAGUCCUAUUUUGGAGGAAAAAAAUGUAUUUCAAAAUAGUGAUUAUUUGAAAAAUGUAUGGUUGAAAAUUAAGAAAAAAUUAUUUUAUUAGAAAAUAUAUAAUUGAAAAGAAGUUUUGAAAAAAUGAAUUUUUCAUAAAAUGGGACUCAAACAAGGGCUUAAUUUGAUCGACCGUCUUGCCAGACUUUCGCUAUUUGACAGGUCAAAUCCUUAACAAAUACAACUUCAAGAAAGUGGAAAGCGCUUUAGCCAUUUUCUAUGGCGUUUCUUGAAUCAAAAGCAGAACGUAACUCAAUCCAAAUCACACAUCUAUAUUUUUCUCCUUUAUUCACCUGCUUUUCCCUGUUUCAAAGAACCAAUUGGCCCCGUAACUUAAUUAAAAGCUUCAUUUUCUCUUUACUUUUUCAUUCUCCACUUCAAAGUUUAUAUAAGUGCCUGAAAUAAUGUGCAUUUCCGUCUUCAUAACUUCGUAUCGAGGAUGUCUUCUUCUGAUAUUCCAAAAACGCCUCUUCCACCGCCCCCGCCAUUCACGCCAACUCACCAAAAGAAACACAAACAAUCUCCUCCCCAAAAGAUUGUCUCAUCGAAACAAGCCUGCA